GCGUCGAUGGCGGAGUGGUCAAUCGCAUUUGACUGUAAAUCAAACGACUUAUGUCUACGCAGGUUCGAAUCCUGCUCGGCGCA
rnacentral:tRNA from 1 species